rnacentral:lncRNA from 1 species
GAUAUUGCGAGGUGAUGACAAUGCCUGCUGGGAAGACUUGAAAAAGACUGGAGAUCGAAGUUACGAGAAGAUAUGUGAUUUGUAAUGAUGUUGUCAGUCAAUCAACAUCAGCCUUUUCUGAUGGAAAGGAUGAUCUUUGGGUGUGCAAAAUGAGUUGAGGUCUCCUUGUAAAGCAUCAAAAUGAUUCUGGGACUUCUAUGUGGUUCUGGAAAACUUUCUAGAUGAGGAUUGAUGGGUUUCAAUUCAUGUUUAAAUGUUUAUUCAGCUCCUUGCUUAACUAAACUUGAAAUUUUGUUCCUAUUAUGAAUAAAAUCAGUCAUCUGUUAAGUUAGUGCCCUCAUUUGCUCGAACGAUGAAUAUAUCCAUCAUCUAAGACUGCGUAUGGUGUUUUAGACAUAUUCUGUACAGAGAACUGCUUAACCCUAAUGAUAAUGCUUUUACUUCUACCAGGAGUCCAUUUGUUUCAUUUGUGUAUGAGAGGGGUUGGCGCCAAAAUUUUAACCGUAGUGGUUUUCCUGGUCCUGAUGAAGAGGUAAAAUUCGUUACUUUCUGUUCUUAUAUAAAUGCAUAAAGUUAAUGAAUUCUAUAAACGAAAUAUUUCAAGACGAUAACUUGAUGAUUUCAAACUUUGAGAAGUGCAAAAUGAAAUGGAAGAAAGGGGUAAAAAUAUAAGACUCUAGGUAAUGUUCUAUCUGGGUCUUACUUUCACUUGUGUAUAAAAUAUCUUUUGAUAUAUCAUAUCUUGUGAUGCAUCCUUGCUACAAUAAAUAUCUGCUUGCUUUAUUUUGAUGUAACAGGCAAACCUCAUUUCAAUAUUUUCUUCAAAUUUAUAACACUUGUCUACAUGCCCACAUAAAUCGUUUGUUGCCACAAAAAAUUUUAAUGUGAAAUUCUAUGCAGUUCAACAUGGCUCAGGAGUAUUUUAAAUCAGCAGAAGGUGGAGUCCUUGUGGACGUUAGCUGUGGUAGUGGUUUGUUCUCCAGGAAAUUUGCCAAAUCAGGGGCCAAUUCAAGAGUUGUUGCACUAGAUUUUUCUGAAAAUAUGCUUCGCCAAUGUUAUGACUUCAUAAAAGAUGAUGUCACUAUAUUAGGCUCGUGAGUAUUUUGUUUUCUUCUCUUUAUAAUUGCUUUGGAAGCUGCUCAAAUAAUACGUAUUAGAUUUAUUGCAUCACGGUCUCUUCGGAUAUCUUCAGAAAUCUUGCACUUGUAAGGGCAGAUGUUUCUCGACUUCCCUUUGCAUCUGGUUCAGUUGAUGCCGUUCAUGCUGGUGCAGCUUUGCAUUGCUGGCCUUCUCCAUCUAAUGCGGUAAGUUUUCACAUUUGCUGGUUUUCACCUUCUUGCAGGACUUGAGAAUAUCAAUUCCAUGAGUGUUAUUUUUGUGUUCUCUACUGUGGUGAUCUGUUUACAAAAAAGUUGUAUAGAUGUGGACACGGCAUUUCUUGAUAAACUAGGAUACAGCACCACUCGAGCAACAUGACUAAAAUUAUUUGCAUAUGCACUACAAAUAAACAUAAUUCAUUAAAUUAUGUGAAACUAACAGGUUAAAUGAACGUCAAUCGUACUGAAUUCGCAUUUAAUUACCAUGGAAGAUUUGAAAUUGUAGGCUUUCCCUUGAAUAUUUAAUUAUGCAUGGUGGCAAGUUUGUGCACUUGAAAUCCAAUUCUUUAUGUUUUCGUGACAUUAUUUGACUUGAUGGACACAAGUUUGAGGAGUGUCUGCACAAUAUGACGUAAGCUUGGUCUACCCUUCGACUUGCUAUGACGAGAUACAUGCCCCAUAAACUUAGGAUGUUAACUUUUCUUCUGAGUUUGAUGUCUGAAUUGAAUUCCAUAGUCUUGAUGGUCUUUUAACUUUGAAUUGGACCACUGUUACCAAAUCUCCUGAUCCAAUCAAUUUGUAACCAGUUUGACUAUACUGUUUAUAUUUUAACUUAAAAGCCUCCAAAAUAAUAAGAGAUGACGUACAUGUUUACUUCCCGAAAAUGGUCUUUUGUCCUUACUCGGUAGUUUGCACUACAACCCUGUAACAUGGUUUGCUAUCUCAUAUAUGUUGAAUGGAAUACAAUUCUCGUGUAAUUUUUAUUGGAUGACGUGUGCAUUUUUUUUCCCUUCUUGCCAUGUAUUUUAGGUCGCGGAAAUCAAUCGUAUAUUACGAAGUGGUGGUGUAUUUGUGGGAAGUACUUUUCGUCGAGUCAGUUCAUCGACUCCUGCAUUAUUGAGGCCUUUCAGACAGGUAAUUCCUCUCUUAAUUGGAUUACUAGUCUUUGUUUCAAUCAAGUUCCAAGCCCAUUAGCGUACCAUUGGAUAUUAAUGGCCACAUUGGACUUCUAACCAGCAGGAGUGGACUUAGUGACAACACUGAUACAAAUUAUAAGUUUGGUUACCAGAUGAAAUUUAUAUGUUCAGCGACUUCAAAGAAUUGUACCCUUAGAGCAUGAAUCUCAAAAAUUCAAAUUUUAUUCCCAUUGAGAUUUAGCUCAUCUGAGCCUCAGGUCGAUCCUAGGAAUCGGUGGCAUUAUAGAGACUGAUACGAGACUAAAUAUUAUCUUUGGAUUAUUAAAUAUGUACAGAAGCAAGUUCAAAGCUUGAAAACAGUGAUUUGGUAUUUCUUCUUGAAAGGCCUGCUUCAUUUCAUUGGUACUAGUCAAAUUAUCGUCUCCUUGGCCAUGUAGAGUGGCUGCUGAUUGCGAUAUUUGUCUUAUAUUUCAUUCAUCAGGCAUUUUUUAUUGUGUCACAGAGGAUCACGAGGGACUACAAUUAUUUAACCGAAGAGGAGAUUGAGGACUUGUGUAGAUCUUGUGGUCUCGUCAAUUAUUCAAGGACAAUUCAGCAAUCAUUUAUUAUGUUUUCGGCACAGAAACCUUGAACUUUUUCUAGCUUUAUCCAGAUUUGAUUGUCGUCCGAGAUCUUAUUACGGUGCUGUCUAUACAAUUAAGAAGCACAUUUCUAUGCCAUGUAUAGGGAAAUUAUUUUUACAUAUUAUUGAGAAUAAGAUUAGGCGCAUUCAAUGUUGGACGAAAAUCCUUUCUAGUUGCAGACCAAUUUUUCCAUAUGUUCAUUUUGUGCCAUUUCUGUCAAUUUUCCUACAAUCUUGCUACAGUGACAGACUCAAUGAC